UUGGCCACCAAUUUCAUUGCUUCUACUUCUUUAUUUGUAGAAAGAAAGUGAACAAUGGUUUAUCAUUGUUGUCUCUCUACAUAUUUUUUCCUUUCUAAAAUAAAAUAUAAAAAAAAAUAAAAGAUUAUAUCUAAUAUUAAUUUAAAAAAUAUUAAAUUUUAAGAUUAGGAGAAAAGAAUAAUAAAGGCCAAAAAAAUGCUAAAGAAGAAAGUG
rnacentral:lncRNA from 1 species